AUAUUUAAUUUAAUAAAAUAAAAGAAAUAAAUUGAAUGAUUAAUUUAAUAACUGUUACUCCAUUUUAAAUAUUUAUAUUUUUAAAUUAAUUUUGAAUAAAUUUAAAUAAAUGUGUGGUAUUCUUGGAGUUCAGCAGUAGAGGCUUGUCGACAGCUCUGAAGAGUGUCGGGACAAGUCCAAGUCGCGUUGGGGCAAAAUGGUCG
rnacentral:lncRNA from 1 species